rnacentral:snRNA from 1 species
GUGCUCGCUUCGGCAGCACAUAUAUAUACUAAAAUUGGAACGAUACAGAGAACAUCAGCAUGGCCUCUGCGCAAGGAUGACACACAAAUUCGUGAAGCGUUCCAUAUUUUU